rfam:Lupinus angustifolius cultivar Tanjil chromosome LG15, whole genome shotgun sequence.
CUUGUGGGGAAUGCUGUCCGGUUCAAGGACAUAACACUAUCUUUACAACCUAUGAUAUAUAUAAUUUGCGGAUUGUAUAAUCGAUUUUGUGUUAUGACUUAGUGUUUCCUCGGACCAGGCUUCAUUCCUCUCAAU